GAUGAACGCUAGCUACAGGCUUAAUACAUGCAAGUCGAGGGGAAACGACAUCGAAAGCUUGCUUUUGAUGGGCGUCGACCGGCGCACGGGUGAGUAACGCGUAUCCAACCUGCCCAUCACUUGGGAAUAACCUUGCGAAAGUAAGACUAAUACCCAAUGACAUCCCACGAAGACAUCUGAAUGGGAUUAAAGAUUUAUCGGUGAUGGAUGGGGAUGCGUCUGAUUAGCUUGUUGGCGGGGUAACGGCCCACCAAGGCAACGAUCAGUAGGGGUUCUGAGAGGAAGGUCCCCCACAUUGGAACUGAGACACGGUCCAAACUCCUACGGGAGGCAGCAGUGAGGAAUAUUGGUCAAUGGGCGAGAGCCUGAACCAGCCAAGUAGCGUGCAGGAUGACGGCCCUAUGGGUUGUAAACUGCUUUUAUAAGGGAAUAAAGUGGGUCUCGGGAGACUUUUUGCAUGUACCUUAUGAAUAAGGACCGGCUAAUUCCGUG
rnacentral:rRNA from 1 species